GGAUGGUUUCAUUUUUCUUGUGUAGGCCUCCAAAGCAAACCAAAAGGGAAAUGGCUGUGUAUGCGAUGCCAGGAAAUACGCGACACCACUUCUACCAAUAAAAAUGCCGGGAAAGACCCGAAGAGGUUCGUCGUAAAGAAGAAAAGGGGUACAGUCCUUGUUCGUGGCAUAUUUUAUUUUGUGGAAGGCUUUGUAGGCACA